GGAGGAGGAGGAGGAGGAGGAGGAGAAGGAAGAGGAGGAGGUCGCCGCUCGCCGCUCGCCGCCGCCGGGGCCCGCGGAGGCUGCUCCCACCGCCGCUGCCGCUGCCGGAAUGAAGCGAAAGACACAAGGAGGAAGGGUGGAAAAAAGAAGAAAAGGAAGGAGAAGAGGGAGAUGAAGGGGGAAAAAAAAAACAACUAAUAGAAUAUGCAAGAAAGGGGAGGGGGGGGGGGAGAGGGAGAGAGAGAGGGAGCGAGCGAGAGAGAGAGAGAGAGAGAGAGAGAGACCCAAAAAAUGAAUGCGUUUAAACGGGAAGCCUAGCAGAGCAAUGUUUCCGAAAGAGGGAUCUGCGCGAAUGUCUGUAUAUAGUGAACUUUGACACUACUAUUGAAACUGACACGUUUCUAUGGAGAUCGCUGCCUUAUAUGGAGCUCAUGUCAAGGAGCCAAGAGAAGGGCUGCUGGCAACUGAUAAUCAAAGGCGACUGACUGGUCAGAGCCCUGAAUUGGGGGGAGAGAAAAUGGGAGGCUAAGAGCGGCUGCGCCGAGGAGAGGGAGAAACCCCUUCUUUCUCAGCGUCCAGCUCCACGAGGCUCCUUCCUCGCAAGCCUUCCUUCCCCGAAACCUCCCCCUACUGCGAGAGGUCUGAAAUUCGCUCUGGGUCGAAAGACUGUGUCUGACAAAGAAGAAACAAAGUGUAAAAAAAAAAAAAAAAAAGGAAAAAGAGAGAAAGAAAAGGCUACCCUCC